rnacentral:rRNA from 1 species
AUACCCUACGGGGCGCAGCAGUGAGGAAUAUUGGUCAAUGGCCGCGGGGCUGAACCAGCCAAGUCGCGUGAGGGAUGACGGUCCUAUGGAUUGUAAACCUCUUUUGUCAGGGAGCAAAGGGCGCCACGUGUGGCGCUUUGCGAGUACCUGAAGAAAAAGCAUCGGCUAACUCCGUGCCAGCAGCCGCGGUGAUACGGAGGAUGCGAGCGUUAUCCGGAUUUAUCGGGUUUAAAGGGUGCGCAGGCGGAAUGUCAAGUCAGCGGUAAAAUUUCGGGGCGCAACCCCGUCGUGCCGUUGAAACUGGG